UCCGGGCCUGAACUGUCUCAGCCAUCCGUCCCUUGCAAACCUGGCUCGGUAUGUGUGUAACCCGUUUCUUCCCUUCACGGAUGCUUGUUUGUUCUCUGGGUCGCAGAAACACAUGCCAGUCUGGAGGAUGUUCCUGCGGAUGUGCGGUCCGGGAAUUUGAACGCUGCCCUCCCUGUAGUCGUGAAGGCGCCAGUCUGGUUCCAGGCAGUGUUGCUGGGCAGCUCUGCGGUGACUCCUCUCGUUUCGGGGAUGUCCGCUGCGUGCCUCGCAGCACCGGUGUUCCUUUCCCAAGUUCUGCGAGGGAGCAUAGAGUAGCCACAGGCUUUCUUGCAUCUGAGGCCGCCCGAUUUUAUUACGUUCUGGCGGCAAAGAUGCCUGGGAAAAGGCCCUCGAGUGCCAAAAUGGAAUGGAAAAUAAUUACCCCCGACAUAAAAUUGGAAGUAUUAAGACGAUUUGAAGUGGGUGAAAAGCUCGGCCAGAUCGCGAAAGCUUUAGGCCUCACUGUCUCCACAGUGACCACGAUACGAGAUGAUAAAGAAAAAAACGAGUUCACAAAUAGCUACUCCUUUGAGAGCCUCUCGGUUGACUCGCCAUCGGAGUGCAGUCAUGGAGACCAUAGAACGAUUGUUGCGUGUGUGGCUUGAAGAUCAGAGCCAGCGAAACGUGCCCCUGAGUGUAACCAUUAUUCAGAAGGAUAAGAGUCUGAUGCCUUACAGCGUGAACAAGGUGAAAGCUCUCAAACAGAAAAAUUCAGGGCAAGUAAAGAGUGGUUUGUGAUUUUCAAGGAGUGCCAUUGUUUGCCCCACAUCAAGAUGAACAGCAUGGCUCCUGGCAACAAGGAUACAUAUCCUGAAGUACUGAAAAGCAUCAUCGAAGGUGAGUACAGCUCCCAGCAAGUUUUUGGUGUAGAUGAGACAGGACUUUAUGGGAAGAGAAUGCCUGAAGGAACGUUUAUUUCUGUGGAAGAAAAAACUGAGCCAGGGUUUAAAUCAUCCAAAGAUCGCUUGAUGCUGCUUCUUGGUGGCAAUGCAGCUGGGGACUUUAAGUUGAAGCCUUUAUUGGUGUACCACUCAGAAAACUUCAAAGCUCUGAAGCAGUACUCCAAGCCCAAUUUGCCUGUGAUUUGGUGCUCAAUCAAAAAGGCCUAGGCAACCAAAAGCAUCUUUCAUGAAUGGUUCACAUAUUUUUUUUACCCUCCAUUGAAAAAUACUGUGCCCAAAAUAAUCUCACCAACAAAGCAUUGCUCAUCCUAGACAGUGCACCAUGCCACCCUAUAAAUUUGAAUGAUCUGUCUGAUAGUGUAACAGUGGAAUAUCUUCAUGACAGUACAGCUGACUUGAUCCAGCCCAUGGGUCAGGGCAUAGUCUCUACCUUCAAAGCCCUUUACCUGUAAAGGAGUUUUGAGCACAUCCUAGAAGCAAUAAAUGGAGAGGAUACAGCUAUUAUUAGGGAGUUUUGGAGAAACUACAUCAUGGUUGCUGUAGAUAACAUUGCAGUAGCUUGGGAGCAGCUCAGACCAGCAACAAUGAAUAAUGUGUUGAAGAUUUGGCCUGAGUGUGUUUAGUUCCAGAGUGUUUCCCAAACAUAACAUCAUACAGCUUCAACAAAACAUUGUGACCCUUGCCAAGAAUGUGGCUUUGGAAGAGGUUGUAGAAGCUGAUGUGGACCAGUUGCUGCAGUCUCAUGAGGAAGAUCUCUCAAAUGAGGAGCUGGUGCAUCUGGAACAGGAGCCAGCAGGAGAGGGGGAAAGUGAAAAUGCUCCAGCUGCUCUUCAUCAGCUAACCACAGGAGAACUGUCAGCAGCCUUCACACAUUUUGAGGCUGGCUUGCAGGUCCUUACCAGUAGUAUCUGUAACAAUGAGUGGAAACUGAAAGUUUCAAGAGCAAUCAGUGAUGCUAUAAACUGCUACAGGGAAUUGUACAAUGAGAAAAAGAGGCACUCAAAGCACCUGUUGUAGGUCAUUUUUCAACGUGUGUAAUCCAAAGUGGAAGAAAAGUGAGAAGCACCAAGAUGGCCUCAACCGAUGAAGCCCCGCCAAGGCUCUCCACUGCCGGAUGUUCAAAGUCCCUGGGAGCCCUUUUUCAGCUCCUGAAAACACUGCAGUCUUAAAGGUGAAAUGGGUGUCUUGUCAUUUUAAUGGACACUUUUGGACACCACCACCCCACUCCCCACCCAAGGGUGAGGGCUGGAGGUUGAAUCAAGCAAUGGCCAAUAUAGUCAAUCAUGACUAUGCAGCAAAGCCCUCACAAAAACUCCCCAGAAGAGCUUCUCGCCCUCUGGGAUCCUGCUUCUCUGUAGGAAAGAGCUUCCAUGCUUGGGAACCAGAACGCCUCCACAUGCCACAGAGCCAGGAUCCAAGUCCCACGAGGAUAGAAGCUCCUUUAUUUGGGACCUUGCCUUUGCAUCUCUUCAUCUGACUGUUAAGUUGUAUCCUUUUCAGUAUCCUUUAUUAAACUGGUAAACGUAA